rnacentral:rRNA from 1 species
UAGGGAAUCUUCCACAAUGGACGCAAGUCUGAUGGAGCAACGCCGCGUGAGUGAAGAAGGGUUUCGGCUCGUAAAGCUCUGUUGUUAAAGAAGAACGUGGGUAAGAGUAACUGUUUACCCAGUGACGGUAUUUAACCAGAAUCACGGCUAACUACGUGUCAG